GAGGAUCUCUGCCAUUGAGUGUCACGCGGUGAGGAGUUUGGCCAGGACUCUCCAGCAGCAAACGGACACCGGUGGACUUCCUCAGCAGUGGGAUUUCCGGCCGUGAGUCACUAGUGACUUGCUGUGAAGGGCUCGAAUCUACUUCCAGCAGCUAUUCUUCCUCCGGGAAUCUAUAGCGCUGUAAAGAACUUGGUUGGUCGAUUUGUGGCAGUAAACAGC